rnacentral:lncRNA from 1 species
UAUCCAGAAAUUCUUUGCAAUUUAUCACUAGGAAUGUUCGACUAAUAGUUCAAUUUGAAUUUAAGAAGCACAUAAGGAACAGACGUACCGGAUAUUUAUCACGUUCUAAAAAGACAGGAAACACUAGAAAUGCCGGCCCUCUGCUGAAGAAAAGUUUUAACUAAAAAAUGUGAUUUUAUCUACAGAGCAAGUAUCGUUUAAAUUGUAGAUGCCGCCACAGGUUUAGAAUAAUAAGUAAUAUGUGGUUUCUACUAGUUAAUGAAAUAUUCAACGAAUAUUACGAGCAUAAGGUUAUAUCAUAAACGAUUGAACAAUGUGACCAUUUUCAAAAAUAACGCAUUAUAGAGAACAAGGAAUUUCUAAUAAUCCAUGUCUAUUAUGACAAACAAUGUACGCAUCAAAGUUUCUACCUUUAACCAGAAGCACAUAAGGAACAGACGUACCGGAUAUUUAUCACGUUCUAAAAAGACAGGAAACACUAGAAAUGCCGGCCCUCUGCUGAAGAAAAAUUUUAACUAAAAAAUGUGUUUUUAUCGACAGAGCAAGUAUCGUUUAAAUUGUAGAUGCCGCCACAAGUUUAGAAUAAUAAGUAAUAUGUGGUUUCUACUAGUUAAUGAAAUAUUCAACGAAUAUUACGAGUAUAAGGUUAUAUCAUAAACGAUUGAACAAUGUGACCAUUUUCAAAAAUAACGCAUUAUAGAGAACAAGGAAUUUCUAAUAAUCCAUGUCUAUUAUGACAAACAAUGUACGCAUCAAAGUUUCUACCUUUAACCAGAAGCACAUAAGGAACAGACGUACCGGAUAUUUAUCACGUUCUAAAAAGACAGGAAACACUAGAAAUGCCGGCCCUCUGCUGAAGAAAAGUUUUAACUAAAAAAUGUGAUUUUAUCUACAGAGCAAGUAUCGUUUAAAUUGUAGAUGCCGCCACAGGUUUAGAAUAAUAAGUAAUAUGUGGUUUCUACUAGUUAAUGAAAUAUUCAACGAAUAUUACGAGCAUAAGGUUAUAUCAUAAACGAUUGAACAAUGUGACCAUUUUCAAAAAUAACGCAUUAUAGAGAACAAGGAAUUUCUAAUAAUCCAUGUCUAUUAUGACAAACAAUGUACGCAUCAAAGUUUCUACCUUUAACCAGAAGCACAUAAGGAACAGACGUACCGGAUAUUUAUCACGUUCUAAAAAGACAGGAAACACUAGAAAUGCCGGCCCUCUGCUGAAGAAAAGUUUUAACUAAAAAAUGUGAUUUUAUCGACAGAGCAAGUAUCGUUUAAAUUGUAGAUGCCGCCACAGGUUUAGAAUAAUAAGUAAUAUGUGGCUUCUACUAGUUAAUGAAAUAUUCAACGAAUAUUACGAGUAUAAGGUUAUAUCAUAAACGAUUGAACAAUGUGACCA